GGGAGCCCUCCUCUGUGGGCGAGUGGCCCUGAGUCAGCGUGGGCAGGGGUCAACACGUGGCAGGAAGGGGAGGCGGAAGGGAUAUGGUCUGGCCACCUGGAAUCCCACGAGGUGACAUCUGCUCACACAGGAAAGGUGACUGCUGGCCUGGGAGUGUCACCUCACGUCAAUGGGUGGGGACUGGGAGCUCGAACCUGGGUCCUUAAGCAUUGCAUUGUAACAUGUGCACUCAACCAGGUGUCGCACCACUAGGAGAUUCUUUACACCACCAGGUUCCAGAUGCCAGCAGGAUGCCGACCAGACUUCCUUGGACAGAUGACCCCACCAAUGUAUCCUUGAGCUCAGCUUCCCCAGAGACCCACCCUACUAGGGAAAGAGAAGCAGACUGGGAGUAUGGACCGACCAGUCAAUUCCCAUGUUCAGCGAGGAAGCAAUUACAGAAGCCAGACCUUCCACCUUCUGCAACCCACAAUGACCUUGGGUCCAUACUCCCAGAGGGAUAAAAAAUGGGAAAGCUAUCAGGGGAGGGGAUGGGAUAUAGAGAUCUGGUGGUGGGAAUUGUGUGGAAUUGUACCCCUCCUAUCCUACGGUUUUGU